GUGCAGGCUGGAAGAGGUGACUGAUGAUGCCAGAACAUCACUGCUGAUGGUCACGGUUCGUGCACAGGUGCUAUUCAAGCCAGCCAGGGCAUCCAGAGCUAUCUCCUCACCUGGAACAAGGAGAUUUACAAGUCCUUGGAGGGGAGCAGGGACUGCAGCCGAGAGCCCAGAGUGUUUUGCCAUCUCUGCUGUGUGCUGGACUGAGCCGGGGCAGCUGCCAGAGGACGCUGGAGGCAUUGUGCUGCCGGACAGGUUUGAAGGCUGGUGUUAAUGAACUGGUGUUAAUGGGCUGGUGUUAAUGGGCACCCUGAUGGUGAGAAGUCAGCACUGGAGCCGCCGUGUCAGGGGCUGGAACUGGGGGUUCUUCCACGUGGCCGUCACCGGAGAGCGAAGAGUCAAGCUGCAGUAACUCCCCGCUGCAGACAAGAUCCUGAACCGCAUCGCUUUAAUUACGCCAGCGCAAAUUUCAUUCAUUUGGUUAAGCCUGGGAGCUACAGAAAGAGCUAUUUCCAGGUGUGCUGGUGUAAUUAUUGCAUGCCCUGCAUUACCCACCGUGCACAGCUGCAUGGACUGGGUUUGUCAGACUCUCCGGCAGACCGGGACAAGUUCGCAGCCAUUGGCACGGCCACGGCCCCGCUCACGCCGCUGCACAUCCCAGCACACGG
rnacentral:lncRNA from 1 species